rnacentral:rRNA from 1 species
UACGGAGGGUGCAAGCGUUGUCCGGAUUUAUUGGGUUUAAAGGGUGCGUAGGCGGUCUUUUAAGUCAGCGGUGAAAUCCUCCAGCUUAACUGGAGAACUGCCAUUGAUACUGGAAGUCUUGAGUACAGACGAGGUAGGCGGAAUUGACAGUGUAGCGGUGAAAUGCAUAGAUAUUGUCAAGAACACCGAUUGCGAAGACAGCUUACUAGACUGUAACUGACGCUGAGGCACGAAAGUGUGGGGAUCAAACAGG